UUACUGGGUGUAGACCCGAAACCAAGUGAUCUAUCCAUGGCCAGGAUGAAGGUGCGGUAACACGUACUGGAGGUCCGAACCCACAAAUGUUGAAAAAUUUGGGGAUGAGCUGUGGAUAGGGGUGAAAGGCUAAACAAACUUGGAGAUAGCUGGUUCUCUCCGAAAACUAUUUAGGUAGUGCCUCGUGUAUAACUGCUGGGGGUAGAGCACUGUUAUGGCUAGGGGGCUCAUAAGAGCUUACCAAACCAUUGCAAACUCCGAAUACCGGCAAGUUCAAUCACGGGAGACAGACAUCGGGUGCUAACGUCCGGUGUCGAAAGGGAAACAACCCAGACCACCAGCUAAGGUCCCUAAUGAUGUGCUAAGUGGUAAACGAAGUGAGAAGGCACAGACAGCCAGGAGGUUGGCUUAGAAGCAGCCACCCUUUAAAGAAAGCGUAAUAGCUCACUGGUCGAGUCGUCUCGCGCGGAAGAUGUAACGGGGCUAAGCACAUAACCGAAGCUGUGGAUGCAUAUUUAUAUGCAUGGUAGGAGAGCGUUCUGUAGGCCUGCGAAGGUGUUCUGUGAGGAAUGCUGGAGGUAUCAGAAGUGCGAAUGCUGACAUGAGUAGCGAUAAAGAGUGUGAAAGGCACUCUCGCCGAAAGCCCAAGGUUUCCUGUGCAACGCUAAUCGGCGCAGGGUGAGUCGGCCCCUAAGGUGAGGCAGAAAUGCGUAGCCGAUGGGAAACAGAUUAAUAUUUCUGUACUUCAAUUUAAUGCGAUGUGGGGACGGAGAAGGUUAGGUCAGCCUAGUGACGGAUAUCUAGGUUUAAGCGUGUAGGUAGAUUCUUUAGGCAAAUCCGGAGAGUCAAUACCAAGGCGUGAUGACGAGUGAACUUUUGUUCAUGAAGUGAUUGAUACCAUGCUUCCAAGAAAAGCCACUAAGCUUCAGUUAAAUUGAAACCGUACCGCAAACCAACACAGGUGGGCAGGAUGAGAAUUCUAAGGCGCUUGAGAGAACUCUGGAGAAGGAACUCGGCAAAUUUGUACCGUAACUUCGGGAUAAGGUACGCCCUUGUAGGUUGAAGCAUUUUACAUGUGGAGGCCGAAAGGGUUGCAGUGAAUAGGUGGCUGCGACUGUUUAAUAAAAACACAGCACUGUGCAAACACGUAAGUGGACGUAUACGGUGUGACGCCUGCCCGGUGCCGGAAGGUUAAAUGAUGGGGUGCAAGCUCUUGAUUGAAGCCCCGGUAAACGGCGGCCGUAACUAUAACGGUCCUAAGGUAGCGAAAUUCCUUGUCGGGUAAGUUCCGACCCGCACGAAUGGCGUAACGAUGGCCACACUGUCUCCUCUAGAGACUCAGCGAAGUUGAAAUGGUUGUGAAGAUGCAAUCUACCCGCGGUUAGACGGAAAGACCCCAUGAACCUUUACUAUAGCUUUACAUUGGACUUUGACAAGAUCUGUGUAGGAUAGGUGGGAGACUUUGAAGCGUGGUCGCUAGAUCACGUGGAGUCACCCUUGAAAUACCACCCUGAUGUUGUUAGAGUUCUAACCCAGAUCCCUUAUCGGGAUCGGGGACCGUGUAUGGUGGGUAGUUUGACUGGGGCGGUCUCCUCCCAAAGAGUAACGGAGGAGUGCGAAGGUAACCUAGGUACGGUCGGAAAUCGUACUUUUAGUGCAAUGGCAUAAGGUUGCUUGACUGCGAGACGGACAGGUCGAGCAGGUGCGAAAGCAGGUCAUAGUGAUCCGGUGGUUCUGUAUGGAAGGGCCAUCGCUCAACGGAUAAAAGGUACUCUGGGGAUAACAGGCUGAUUCCUCCCAAGAGUUCAUAUCGACGGGGGAGUUUGGCACCUCGAUGUCGGCUCAUCACAUCCUGGGGCUGUAGUCGGUCCCAAGGGUAUGGCUGUUCGCCAUUUAAAGUGGUACGUGAGCUGGGUUUAAAACGUCGUGAGACAGUUUGGUCCCUAUCUGCCGUGGGCGUUGGAAGUUUGAAGGGGGCUGUUCCUAGUACGAGAGGACCGGAAUGGACAGAUCUCUGGUGGACCGGUUGUUACGCCAGUAGCAUAGCCGGGUAGCUAAAUCUGGAAAAGAUAAACGCUGAAAGCAUCUAAGCGUGAAACUUGCCUUAAGAUAAGACUUCCCUUGCACUUUAAGUGCACUCAAGAGUCGUUCUAGACCAGGACGUUGAUAGGUCAGGUGUGGAAGUGCAGUAAUGCAUGAAGCUAACUGAUACUAAUUGCUCGUGAGGCUUGAUCCU
rnacentral:rRNA from 1 species